GACGAACGCUGGCGGCGUGCUUAACACAUGCAAGUCGAACGGAAAGGCCCUGCUUUUGUGGGGUGCUCGAGUGGCGAACGGGUGAGUAACACGUGAGUAACCUGCCCUUGACUUUGGGAUAACUUCAGGAAACUGGGGCUAAUACCGGAUAGGAGCUCCUGCUGCAUGGUGGGGGUUGGUAAGUUUCGGCGGUUGGGGAUGGACUCGCGGCUUAUCAGCUUGUUGGUGGGGUAGUGGCUUACCAAGGCUUUGACGGGUAGCCGGCCUGAGAGGGUGACCGGCCACAUAGGGACUGAGAUACGGCCCAGACUCCUACGGGAGGCAGCAGUGGGGAAUAUUGCACAAUGGGCGGAAGCCUGAUGCAGCAACGCCGCGUGCGGGAUGACGGCCUUCGGGUUGUAAACCGCUUUCGCCUGUGACGAAGCGUGAGUGACGGUAAUGGGUAAAGAAGCACCGGCUAACUACGUG
rnacentral:rRNA from 1 species